rnacentral:lncRNA from 1 species
CGAGCGGAAGGGACUUGUGCCCCAGAUCAGGCCCGGGUAGCCUGCUUCCCUAUGUACCGCAGUCUCAAGUUCCACGCGAUUGGAUUGGGGCAGGCACUGUGGUCCACUCACCAGAGGUCUUAGGGUCCCGUGGGGAGUCCCGUGUGGGCCCUUGCGGGUGUUGGGCAAGACUCUGCUGGCAAGGUAGCCCGGGGCUCGAGUCUCGAGUCCUAAAGGUGUUCUUGUUCAUCUGAUUCAGCUAAUUUGGAUCAUCUCUGUCUUCCUUUGGUCAAGUAGACCAAAAGUCUGUUGACUUGUUUAUCUUCUCAAAGAACCAGCUGUUUGAUUCAUUGAUUCUUUGUAUUUCUAUGGUUCUUUCUAUUGCAUUAAUUUUUGCUCUGAAUUUUUUUAUUAUUUCUUUCCACAUACCAGAUUAGGUUUGGUUUUGUUCUUGUUUUUCCAUAUUUUUGAGUUGUAUCAUUAAGUCUUAUGUGUGUGUGCACACACAUGCAUGGAUGCACAUGUGUGAGCACUUGUGUGUACAUGUGUUUAUAUAAUUUUUUAAAUGUAGGGGCUAUGAGCUAUAUUUACUCAGGAAUGUUUGUCAUGUGUUUCAGAGGUUUUUCUGUUUUCAUUUAAUUUCAGGGUUUUUUAAACUAUGUGUCAUUAAGUGAUAUGAUGUUUCUGCUCUACAAGUUUUUGUAAUUUCUAGUAGUUCAUUUGAUGUUGAUUUUGAUUUUUAUUGUGCUAUUAUCAGGUAGGAUGCACAGAGUUAUUUCAGAGUAACUGUAGCUUCAUAGAACAAGUUAGGUAGUGUUCUUUCUGUUCUUAUUCUCUGGAAUAGCUUGAGAAGUAUUGGUAUUAAGUCUUCUUCGAAGGUCAGAUAGAAUGCUGUAGUAACACCAUCUGUCCCUGGGCUGUUUUUGGUUGAGAGACUUUUAAAGACUGCUUCUAUUUCCUUAGGAAUUAUGGGACUGUUUAGAAAGUUUACCUGGUACUGAUUUAAAUUUGGUACCUGGUAUCUGUCUAGAAAAUCUCCAUUUCCUCUAGUUUCUCUAGUUUUGUUGAGUAUAGGCUUUUGUAGUAGGAUCUGGUGAUUUUUUUUUUUUUAAUUUUCUCAGUUUCUGUGGUUAUCUACCUUUUCUGAUUUUGUUAAUUUGGAUGCUGUCUGUGUCCUUUAGUUAGUUUGGCUAAGAGUUUAUCUAUCUUGUUGAUUUUCUCAAAUAACUAGCUUCUAGUUUUUUGAUUCUUUGUAUAGUUCUUUUUGUUUCUAAUUCAUUGAUUUCUGCCCUGCGUUUGGUUAUUUCCUUCCAUCUACUCUUGGGUGUGUUUGCUUCUUUCUGUUCUAGAACUUUCAGAUGUGCUAUUAAGUUGCUAGUGUAGGAUCUCUCCAACUUCUUUAUGAAGGCACCCAGUGCUAAGAAUUUUCUUCUUAGCUCUACUUUAUGUCCCAUAAGUUUGGGAAUGCUGUUGCCUUAAUUUUCAUUAAAUUCUAAAAAGUCUUCAAUUUCUUUCCUUAUUUCUUCCCUGACCUAUUUACUGUUGAGUGGAGAGUUGUUCAGCUUCCAUGAGGAUGUGGGCUUUCUGUUUUUGUUGUUAUUGAAUAGCAGCUUUAGUCCAUGGAUGUUUGAUAGACUGCAUGGGAUUAUUUCAAUCUUUUUGUAUAUGUUGGCGCUUAUUUUGUGCCCAAUUUUAUGAUCAAUUUUGGAGAAGAUACCAUGAGGUGAUGAGAAAAAGGUAUAUUCUUUUUGUUUUGGAGUGAAAUGUUCUUUAGCUAUCUGUUAAACUCAUUUGGUUCAAAACUUCUGUUAGUUUCAAUAUGUCUCUGUUCAUUUUCUGUUUCCUUGAUCUGUCCAUUGGUGAGAGUGGGGUGUUGAAGUCUCCCACUAUUAUUGUGUGAAAUUCAAUGUGUUUUGAGCUUUAGUAACAUUUCUCUUACAAACAUGGUUGCCCUUAUAUUUGGGGUAUAGCUUUCAGAACUGAGAGUUCAUCUUGAUGUAUUUUUCUUUUGAGUUUGAAGUGUUCAUUCUCCUCUCUUUUAGUAACUUGGUUGAAAGUCUACUUUAUUG